rnacentral:rRNA from 1 species
UACAGAGGUCUCGAGCGUUAGGCGGAAUCACUGGGCUUAAAGCGUGUGUAGGCGGAUCGUUAAGUGCCUUGUGAAAUCCCACGGCUCAACCGUGGAACUGCUUGGCAUACUGGCGGUCUUGAGCCAGCUAGGGGCUACCGGAACAAAUGGUGGAGCGGUGAAAUGCGUAGAUAUCAUUUGGAACGCCAAUGGUGAAAACAGGUAGCUGGGGUCUGUGCUGACACUGAGAACACGGAAAG